UUAAGAAUUUUUCUUUGCAGAUGAGGCACCUCAGGUAUCAAAACCAAAAGCACCUUCUAAACAGAAUUCUCCUUCGAAAGAUAGUUUGCAUAAAAAAUUGUGCAGAGGAUUGAAUGAAAUAGGUGCUAUGGAAUUUAGUGAAUCAAAUUUAGAUGAACCAGAAGAUGAAAUUUUAGCUGAGCUGAAACGACUCCAAAAGGAGCUUAUACCGGUAUGCAACAGAAAUUUAAGACAGAAAAAACACCUUUUAGCAAUGGCGAAAGCUGAAAUAAAGAAACAAGAUGUUAAAAAGAAAUUAAAAGAAAUAGAUGCAAAGUUGAUGGAAAUAUAUCGAGAGAUCUAUGCUGCAAGGUGUGAAAAUAAAGCCCCACCAAAGAAAUAUGCUGCACAAAUCAGAAAAACAAUAUCAGAGAGACAACUGAUUCUCAAGCAGUUGGAAGACAUGACUUAAAGGAUCCUUUUUGAUUGCUGCGAGCUUUCAUGAUAAACUUUUAAAUGUCAUCCUUGCUUUUUUCAAUAUGCUGGGUACUUCAAAAUAAUAACAAUUAAGCUGGCAUAUAAUAAGAAUUGGAGAAAAAGAAAUUGUCUUGGAACACAGGGAUCCAAAUGUUGUCUGGAAUAACUAGAGGGGUUACAAAAUAUAUAUAACGUACUAAAAAAUAAAUAAGCAUGUUCUACGCAAUCUUACUUAGUUAGGUUCUUCACAUUGUUUCGCGCAUAAAGCAUCCGACAUACCUCUCCACGCCCUUCUGGUCUUCUGCUUUUGAUCAGGUUUCCCCCAUUCCUUUAAAUUUUGACCCCUUAAAAUGUGUUUGCAUUUGUUUUGAGCACCUCUUUGACUUUUCAUCAUGGAUACAUCAUUCUAAUGUUCCAUAUUCUAACUCUUUGUUUUUCUUUGGGAGACAAGAGUUUCCUGGGGCUUUACCCUUGUCAGUUAAUGACCUUGUCACCCUCAGAAAAAAAAUCAUCACAAGACAUCAGUGCAUCAAGAGUUUGGUUGGAAGGCCUGAUAAUCAGUCUAUAAGUAGAAUAGGAGGAAACGUUUCCAUUAAUAUUUUCCUACUCAUUUACGAUCAGCGCUGCCGGAGUUGUUCAAACUGCUUGCCUUGAGACAUACUAUAUAGCUAUCAAUGUUACAUAGUAUGUUGCAUCUUCUGUUACAAGUUGUAUCUGGAUCACAUCCUAUUGGCAUAGUUUUGACCAUCACCUGUUGUAGCUUUGGGAUGUAAAUGUGUAACCUAUGUUGAAGGAUAUUGUCUAUUUUCGUCAUACGUUAUAUGUAAUUUGCAAUCCUUACCUAGAGGCUCUGUUUACCAUUUCCAAUCCCAUGUCCCUAUGUUUUUUAGUGUUUUUUAUUCCUUUUGUAUGCCUGAUUUACCCUUUUAUUUCGGCAAUGAUCUUUUGAUGCACCCUGUAUAUGGUGACACACUUCUGUGAUUUUUCUCUUCCUGAGUAGUCUUUUAUGUAUAUUAUGAUUAAAAAAAACUGUAUUGUGUAAUUUUUUUUUAAAAAAAUGUCUGUGAAUCUUUUCUGACAGAAGCAAAUAUUAAGUUGUAGAGCAACUUUUUCUGAAUAAAAGCUGUCUGUUAAUAGAAUUUUCA
rnacentral:lncRNA from 1 species